AACAGGAUUAGAUAGCCUGGUAGUCCACGCCGUAAACGAUGAAUGCUAGGUGUAGGAGGUAUCGACCCCUUCUGUGCCAGAGUUAACGCAAUAAGCAUUCCGCCUGGGGAGUACGGUCGCAAGACUGAAACUCAAAGGAAUUGACGGGGGCCCGCACAAGCGGUGGAGUAUGUGGUUUAAUUCGACGCAACGCGAAGAGCCUUACCAGGGCUUGACAUUGAGUGAAAGGCCAAGAGAUUGGUCCCUCUCUUCGGAGACACGAAAACAGGUGGUGCAUGGCUGUCGUCAGCUCGUGUCGCGAGAUGUUGGGUUAAGUCCCGCAACGAGCGCAACCCCUAUCAUUUGUUGCCAGCACGUCAAGGUGGGAACUCAAAUGAGACUGCCGCGGACAACGCGGAGGAAGGCGGGGAUGACGUCAAGUCAUCAUGCCCCUUAUGUCCUGGGCUACACACGUACUACAAUGGGAUGGACAGAGAGCAGCGACCCCGCGAGGGCAAGCGAACCCCAUAAACCAUCUCCCAGUUCGGAUUGCAGGCUGCAACCCGCCUGCAUGAAGUCGGAAUCGCUAGUAAUCGCUGGUCAGCAUACAGCGGUGAAUACGUUCCCGGGUCUUGUACACACCG
rnacentral:rRNA from 1 species